UUUGGCUAAGAUCAAGUGUAGUAUCUGUUCUUAUCAGUUUAAUAUCUGAUAUGUGGGCCAUUGGCUCACACGAUAUUGAAUUUAUUUUUUGAGGGGGAAGGCCUAUCAAAGUAGCUUGCUACUUGGGCCUUCAAGUGUCGCUCAUGUGUUGCACUAUUGCACGGGCCUGGCGCACCCCACCAAUUUGAGUUUAAUCUUUGCUUGUUAAAUUCUUUGAUUGCAUUCAACAAAUUUCUCUAUGUGGUAACAAAAUGUAGAGUUUUAUGAACCUAGUUAAUCGGCUUUUUGGAUGAUGUACUAUUGUUUAAAAUUUUGGAAGUUUUUGUAUAGAAUCAGCAUCUGCUGAGAAUUUGAUGUGCUUCAUGCUUUACUGAUUUUGGAUUAUUGCUGUCUGAUUCUGUCUGUUGAUUUGCUAUGAUUCUUUGUGGGGUAUAAAGUAGGUCCUAAAUCCUAAUGCACUCUUAAGAAUCCAGUCUGAAGAAAUAGUUCGACAAGACCGCAUUGAUCGCCCGACACACAAGUAACUGGAAAAACCAGCCAUCUGAUACUGAUAUGGAGGGAAAAGCAGCUACUGGAGAUUAACUGUAGACAAACUUUAUAAGCAUAUAGGUUUAUUAACAUUGCAGGUUGUUCUUAGAGAUUUUCUCAACCGAUUUCAGCCAGACGAUUCUCAUAUCAAGAAUGGAAGAGUUCGCGGUUGGAUUCGAAACAAGAAGGGUUCAUAUUAUCCCACAUCCAAGAUGAGAAGAUAGUUAUAUUUGAAACAACUUUAUAAAAGAGGAGGUGCGUAGAUGUUGAAGCUCAUACCUUUCUCGGCCUUUUGGCUAAGAUCAAGUGUAGUAUCUGUUCUUAUCAGUUUAAUAUCUGAUAUGUGGGCCAUUGGCUCACACGAUAUUAAAUUUAUUUUUUGAGGGGGAAGGCCUAUCAAGGUAGCUUGCUACUUGGGCCUUCAAGUAUCGCCCAUGUGUUGCACUAUUGCACGGGCCUGGUGCACCCCACCAAUUUUAGUCUAAUGUUUUUUGUAUUAUAUAUGCAUCAACUUUAAUUUGUCUUACUCAUGUAAAAUCUGGAAAUUCUGAGGAUGAAAAUGGUAAACUAUAUAAUUUCAAUCACAACUAGUUAACUACUUACUGACUGGGGGGUGUAACCUGCACAUCAUGUAUGAAGCUAAGAAUGUUCCAACAAAUUGAUUCCAUUUCCAUGUACACUUCUUGGACUGGAAAAUGUAAUCGUAAGCUUUUUCGAGCUAGGAAAUUUAAUGCAGCUGAGUGGCCCGAGGAGAAUCUAGUUGAAGAAAUAGUUCGAACAGACAGCGCUGAUCGCCCGACUAACAAGUAACUGGGAAAAUUAGCCGUAGGAAUAUAUUACAAGUUUACAACAGUACAAAACCAGUUUAAAGUUGUAUUUCAAGAUAAAUGGGGUAUUUUGGGGUUGUGUUGGACAAGUGUAGAAUAUAGUCAAUAUAUUGUACAUAAGAAAGAAAGCAAAUUGUGAUAUGAAAAGGGAUGUGUAUCCUAAUUGUUCUUUUUAGGUUGCUCUUCUCAUAGAGAUGUGAGGUGUAAGAAAGAACCAUCAAAUCUAUUGAAUUUAAAUUCUUUAUAUUUAAACUAUACAGUUUUUCAUUCUUAUUUGUCCUAGCUUUGACCCAGUUCAUAGAUUGCAACUUCCUACUAUCAUUCACAAAGAGACUUAUUAUCCCACAUCGGACAUGAGAAAGAAAUUAUCUUCAAAAACUAAGUACUAUAAAAUAGGAGGUGUGUAGAUUUAGAAGUUCAUACCUUUCUCGGCCUUUUGGCUAAGAUCAAGUGUAGUAUCUGUUCUUAUCAGUUUAAUAUCUGAUAUGUGGAUCAUUGAUCCACACGAUAUUAAAUUUAUUUUUUGAGGGGGAAGAUCCGUCAAAGUAGCUUGCUACUUGGAUCUUUGAUUGUCGUCCAUGCGUUGCACUAUUGCACGGGCCUGGCACACCCCACCAAUUCGAGUCCAAUCUUAACUUUGUUAUUGCACCUACAUUUCUUUUUUUCUUUGUUAAUAGAACUGUGAUCAAUACCAUAUAAUGUCUCGUUUUACUUGUAGUUUUUCCUUUGUCUUUACUCAGUAGGUUUUUUAUAUAGAUUUAUAGAUAUUUAUAUCAGUACAUGGCCACUGAUUAUCUCUUUGCAGCAGCAUCAGUAAUGUAACAAUCAAAUAUUUGUAAGAAUGCAGUAACAUCUUCUUCUGUAAUGGUUCAUCAAAUUGAUUCCAUUUCCAUGUUGGCUUCUUGGACUGGAAAAUGUAAUCAGAAGCUUUUAUGGGCUAAGAAAUUUGAAUGCAGCUGCGUGGGCCGAGGAGAAUCCAGUUGAAGAUAUAGUUCGAACGGACAGCGCUGAUCUCCCGACAAACAAGUAACUGGGAAAAUCAGCGAUCUGAUAAUACUACAUUACAAAAUCAGUUUAAGUUGUUUUUCAAGACAAAUGGGACAUUUUCUGGUUGUGUUGGAAGACUAUAGAAUUUAGAUAAGAAAGAAAGCAAAUUGUGAUAGGGAUAGGAUGUGUUCUUUUGAGGUUCCUCUAUAGAGUUCAAUUUUUUUUUAAAACUACAAAUUGUCAUUCAUAUUUGACCUUGCCUUGUAUUAUCAGUUCGUAAAUUUCAAUUUCUUAGUAGUCAUUUACAAAAGAGCUCCAUGUAAAAACAAGAAGACAUUUUGUCCCACAUCGGAUAAGAGUAUAAAGGUAUCUUCAAAAACUAAGUACUAUAAAAGAGGAGGUGUGUAGCUGUAGAAUCUCAUACCUUUCUCGGCCUUUUGGCUAAGAUCAAGUGUAGUAUCUGUUCUUAUCAGUUUAAUAUCUGAUAUGUGGGCCAUUGGCUCACACGAUAUUAAAUUUAUUUUUUGAGCGGGAAGG